rnacentral:lncRNA from 1 species
AGGAAUUAAGGAAAAUGCAUGAAACCUUGUAAGGAAAUUAAGAGGAAUAAGGAAGAAAGACUCCUCUUCAUAAUGCCCAAAUAAAUGAUGCCACAUUUAUUUUCUCAUGUGGUUUUGACAUGGAGGUGGUGGAUUCACAUGAAACUCUUCCAUAUAAAUCAGAUAAAUGAACUAAUAAAUAGAUAGUUCAAAUCCAAUCACAUUAGGUCAAGACAACAAGAUUAGGUUAGCACAAACACCUUUGCAUUGAACCCAAUUGGGAACUUGGAUUAAUUCAUGUGCUAGCAAUUUAAUUAACCUAUUAAAUUUUAAUAAAUUCAAAUAGAUUGGACCA